UACGGAGGAUGCGAGCGUUAUCCGGAUUUAUUGGGUUUAAAGGGUGCGCAGGCGGCCUGUUAAGUCAGCGGUAAAAGCCCGGGGCCCAACCCCGGGACUGCUCUUGGAACUGCAUGGCUGGAGUACAGGAGGGGCAGGCGGAAUUCCUAGUGUAGCGGUGAAAUGCGUAGAUAUUAGGAGGAACACCGGUGGCGAAGGCGGCCUGCUGGACUGUGACUGACGUUGAGGCCCGAAGGCGUGGGGAGCAAACAGG
rnacentral:rRNA from 1 species